rnacentral:rRNA from 1 species
GCCAGCAGCCAAACUACCUCAGGCUGUGAUCUUAUCAGAUCUAAUAAACUAAAAAGUAUUGGACUGGGAUUGUACUUGGUAGGAAAGCUCCAGGAAAAGCCCAAGGUGCUGGAG